rnacentral:rRNA from 1 species
AUUGAACGCUGGCGGCAUGCCUUACACAUGCAAGUCGAACGGCAGCACGGGGGCAACCCUGGUGGCGAGUGGCGAACGGGUGAGUAAUACAUCGGAAUGUACCCAGUAGUGGGGGGAUAACUAGUCGAAAGAUUAGCUAAUACCGCAUACGCACUAUGGUGGAAAGCGGGGGGAUCGCAAGACCUCGCGCUAUUGGAGCAGCCGAUGUCCGAUUAGGUAGUUGGUGGGGUAAAAGCCUACCAAGCCUGCGAUCGGUAACUGGUCUGAGAGGACGACCAGUCACACUGGGACUGAGACACGGCCCAGACUCCUACGGGAGGCAGCAGUGGGGAAUUUUGGACAAUGGGGGAAACCCUGAUCCAGCAAUGCCGCGUGUGUGACGAAGGCCUUCGGGUUGUAAAGGCACUUUCGGCGGGACGAAACGGCGCGUUCUAAUACAGAGUGCUAAUGACGGUA